rnacentral:lncRNA from 1 species
CUAGUUCUGAUGAUAACCACUUGAAAUUAUUGUCAGAUUCUACAAAUUUAAGGGCACAAUUUCCCUAAAGAUCUGCUGCCUCAUAUUAGAUGGCCACCCACAUGUUUGGGAAGGUGAGUAAUCUGUUUAUAGUUCCAGUUGACUAGGAAGGCACUUAAUAGUCUCCCACAGGCACUUAAAGUAGAAUGACUAGCAAGAAACUCCAGGAAGCCCUACACAAAAGAUUACAGUUUCAUCAUAAAGACUAUAUAUUGGAAUAGCGGCCAGACGAAAACCUGAAUGAAAGAGAAGAAUACAAAGAAAAAAACCCACAAUACCAGAUUUGGGAUACUUUCCUAUGCUUUGUUGGUCAGAGAGGUCUCAGAAGCAUCCAAAGCAAUAUGGAUUAUCAUCACUGCUUUUGAUUGGUUGCCCACAAGAACAUGAAGGUAGCUACAUGGUGGCAUCUCCCUGGAGGUUCCUUUCUCUGUGUUCCUAUUCCCUGCAUUUAUUCACCAACCAAUAAGAGAAAUGUUCACAGCACUCGGAAGAACAUCCUCCAUCAGAAGAGUGCAUCCAUUUGAAGUUCAACUUUAAAAAUAAAACAACUUAUAUUUGACUAGACCCUUGCUAUUUGGGCCCAUGGUGGAUUUCUUACAAACCUAUGAGGAUAAUGUGAGACAAUAGAUUUUGUAGGUUUGUAAAUGGCAUAGAAGUGAAGAGAGGAGUGCACUGGGCUGAUCUUCAAAGACAUCUGGUGAAGAUGAACGGAGAGUGUAAGACAAACUUAAA